rnacentral:sRNA from 1 species
CACCUCCGAAGCGCAGGAAGCGCUCGGAAUCAAGGAUGAGCGAGCACCGCCAGGACGGCCCCGAAAGGAUUUGGAAUGCUCAGAAAAAACCCGCUUCGGCGGGUUUUUU